GAUGAAGAACGCAGCGAAAUGUGAUACUUGGUGUGAAUUGCAGAAUCCCGUGAACCAUCGAGUCUUUGAACGCAAGUUGCGCCCGAAGCCUCGGCUAAGGGCACGUCUGCCUGGGCGUCACGCAUCGCGUCUCCCCCAAACCGCCAAGGCGGAGGGGAAGGAAGAUGGCUUCCCGUGCCUCACCCGGGCGCGGUUGGCCUAAAUUUGGAGCCCGCGGCACUUAGCUCUCGCGGCGAUAGGUGGUGAACAAGGCCUUGGCCGUGCAAACAACCCGCUGCGAAGCUCUAUGUCACGUGCGCUCGUCGGACCCUUUGAAGUUGCCUUUGGUGACUUAAAACCUUUGCGACCCCAGGUCAGGCGGGGCUACCCGCUGAAUUUAAGCAUAUCAAUAAGCGGAGGA
rnacentral:misc_RNA from 1 species